UAUUGGGGUAACGCCCUCCUGCAAGUCGAGCGGAUGAAGAGAGCUUGCUCUCUGAUUCAGCGGCGGACGGGUGAGUAAUGCCUAGGAAUCUGCCUGGUAGUGGGGGACAACGUUUCGAAAGGAACGCUAAUACCGCAUACGUCCUACGGGAGAAAGCAGGGGUAACCUAUGCGGGACAUCUUGCGAUAUCAUGAUGUAGCACUAGGUCGGAUUAGCUCAGUUGGUGGACGCUAACGGCUCACCAAGGCGACGUAUCAGUAACUGUGGUCCGGAGACGGAUAGAUGCACGUCACACAGGAACUCAGUACACCGUUCCAGACUCCUAGCGGGAGGCAGGCAGUGGGGAAUAGUGGAGCAACGAGCGAAAGCCCGAUCCAGCCAUGCCGAGGGGGUGAAGAAGGUCUUCGGAUUGUAAAGCACUUUAAGUUGGGAGGAAGGGCAUUAACCUAAUACGUUAGUGUGUUGACGUUACCGACAGAAUAAGCACCGGCUAACUUCGUGCCAUGCAGCCGCGGUAAUACGAAUGGGUGCAAGCGUGAAUCGGAAUUACUGGGCGUAAAGCGCGCGUAGGUGGUUUGUUAAGUUGAAUGUGAAAGCCCCGGGCUCCACCUGGGAACUGCAUCCAAAACUGGCAAGCUAGAGUAUGGCAGAGGGUGGUAGAAUAUACUGUGUAGCGAUGAAAUGCGUAGAUAAAGGAAGGUAACACCAGUGACGAAGGCGACCAUCUCUGUCGGCUAAUACUCACACUGAGGUGUCGCACACAGCGUGGGGAGCAAACGAGGAUUAGAUACCCUGGUCAGUCCACUGCCGUAAACCAUGUCAUAUCUAGCCGCUUGCGAUCCUCUCGAAGAUAUUACUGGCGCACCCUAUACGCUAUUAAGUCGACCGCCUGGGGAGUAGCGGCUCGCAAGGUUAAAACUCAAAUGAAUUUGACGGCAGCCCACACAACCAGUGGAGCAUGCGGUUGUAAUUCGACUAGCAACACGAAAACAGCCGCACCAGGCCUAGACAUGCAGAGAACUGGCCAGAGAUGGACUGGUGACAUACGCGAACUCUGACACAAGUACUGCAUGGCUAUCGUCAGCUCGCGUCCGCGACAUGUAUGGAUUAAGUCACGUAACGAACGCAACCCUCUGUCCUUACGUUACCAGCACGUUAAGGUGGGCACUCUCAAGGUACACAGCCGGUGACAAACCGGAGGAAGGUGGGGAUGACGUCAAGUCAUCAUGGCCCUUACGACCUGAACUACACACGAGCUACAAUGCGGUCGGCACAGAAGGGUACUGCCAAGCCGCGAGAUGGACCUAAUCCCAUAAAACCGAUCGUAGUCCGGAUCGCAGUCUGCAACUCGACUGCGUGAAGUCGGAAUCGCUAGUAAUCGUGAAUCAGAAUGUCACGGUGAAUACGUUCCCGGGCCUUGUACACACCGCCCGUCACACCAUGGGAGUGGGUUGCUCCAGAAGUAGCUAGUCUAACCUCGGGGGGACGGUACCUAGAGAGGAACCGUACGGC
rnacentral:rRNA from 1 species